UCAGAACGAACGCUGGCGGCAGGCCUAACACAUGCAAGUCGAACGAUAUAGUGGCAGACGGGUGAGUAACGCGUGGGAACGUACCUUUCACUACGGAAUAGCUCCGGGAAACUGGUGGUAAUACCGUAUACGCCCUUAGGGGGAAAGAUUUAUCGGUGAAAGAUCGGCCCGCGUUGGAUUAGCUAGUUGGUGAGGUAAUGGCUCACAAAGGCGACGAUCCAUAGCUGGUCUGAGAGGAUGAUCAGCCACACUGGGACUGAGACACGGCCCAGACUCUACGGGAGGCAGCAGUGGGGAAUCUUGCACAAUGGGGCGAAAGCCUGAUGCAGCCAUGCCGCGUGAAUGAUGAAGGCCUUAGGGUUGUAAAAUUCUUUCGUCAGGGAUGAUAAUGACCGUACCUGAAGAAGAAGCCCCGGCUAACUUCGUGCCAGCAGCCGCGGUAAUACGAAGGGGGCUAGCGUUGUUCGGAAUUACUGGGCGUAAAGCGCACGUAGGCGGACUUUUAAGUCAGGUGUGAAAUCCCGGMGCUCAACCUCGGAACUGCAUUUGAAACUGGAAGUCUUGAGACCAGGAGAGGUUAGCGGAAUACCGAGUGCAGAGGUGAAAUUCGUAGAUAUUCGGUGGAACACCAGUGGCGAAGGCGGCUAUCUGGACUGGUACU
rnacentral:rRNA from 1 species